rnacentral:rRNA from 1 species
CGUGGCUAACCUGCCCUUGGGACAGAGACAACCCCGGGAAACUGGGGCUAAUCCCUGAUAAGCGAAGAACUCUGGAAUGAGUCUUCACCAAAAUGGCGUUUAGAUCAUGCUUCUAGGCGUUGCCCAAGGAUGGGGCCGCGACCGAUCAGGUUGUUGGUGAGGUAAUGGCUCACCAAGCCUAUAACCGGUGCGGGCCGUGAGAGCGGGAGCCCGGAGAUGGGCACUGAGACAAGGGCCCAGGCCCUACGGGGCGCAGCAGUCGCGAAAACUUUGCAAUACACGAAAGUGUGACAGGGUCAUCCCGAGUGCCGUCCGCUGAGGAUGGCUUUUACCCAGUCUAGAAAGCUGGGGGAAUAAGGAGAGGGCAAGUCUGGUGUCAGCCGCCGCGGUAAUACCAGCUCUCCGAGUGGUGUGGAUGUUUAUUGGGCCUAAAGCAUCCGUAGCUGGCUGGGCAAGUCCCCUGUUAAAUCCACCGAUUCAAUCGUUGGUUUGCGGGGGAUACUGCUCGGCUAGGGGACGAGAGAGGCCGACGGUAUUCCCGGGGUAGGGGUGAAAUCCUAUAAUCCCGGGAAGACCACCAGUGGCGAAGGCUGUCGGCUAGAACGCGCCCGACGGUGAGGGAUGAAAGCUGGGGGAGCGAACCGGAUUAGAUACCCGGGUAGUCCCAGCUGU